rnacentral:sRNA from 1 species
CACUGUGGAAGCUUUGUUCUUUCGCUCUUUGCAAUAAAUCUUGCUACUGCUCACUCUUUGGGUCCACACUGCUUUUACGAGCUGUAACUUACCGUGAAGGUCUGCAGCUUCACUCCUGAAGCCAGCGAGACCACAAGCCCACCGGGAGGAAAGAACAACUCUAGAUGCGUGGCCUUAAGAGCUGUAACACUCACCUGGAAGGUCUGCAGCUUCACUCCUGAGCCAGCGAGACCACGAACCCACCAGAAGGAAGAAACUCCGAACACAUCCGAACAUCAGAAGGAACAAACUCCAGACGCGCCAUCUUAAGAGCUGUAACACUCACCACGAGGGUCCACGGCUUCAUUCUUGAAGUCAGUGAGACCAAGAACCCACCAAUUCCGGACACAAUGUGACUAGUUCUUGCCAAUGCAAUGUGAGCAAAGCAGUGUGUCAUUUCUAGGCCAAGGCAGAGGGGGGUUUAAUCUGGACUGAAUUGGAGGAAAGGAACUGGCACCAGAGUGGAGGCUGGAAGGAUGGUGGAACUGACACUGGGACAGAACACAGAAAACAGAAUCUAAUGCUA